GCUGGUUCUAAUGUUAGAGAACUGUCACUGCUGUUCAGACUGUUCAAGAUGGAUAUAAGAAGAGCAAUCAUAAAACACAAUCUACAGGGAACGAGUUACUUAAACUGGACCUGCAUGGCCAUACAGUACAUGACAGGUUUUUAGCAAUUGUUUAAGUUUGGAAAUUAACCUGAAGAAAUAUUGAUAAAUCAAUGGAUUGAUCAGUUUGACUCUCUCUCAUAUCAUCCAUCGCAUUGAAGCUUAACCAUAUCAAUUGAACAGAUAAUAAUUUGCCACAAUUGACAAAAAGUAGAGGCAAGCCAUUUGUGAAGCACUCGAAAGGCUAAAGUUGACAUUGGUAAAAUUAAAUGUAAUUCAAUUGAGUAAUCCCUAAUUGUUAUUAGUGUGUAAAUAUAUAACUUCUUGUAAUGUAGACAGGAAGCUGAAAGAAACAGGCUUAGACUGAGGCCUUCUUGAGUCUCUCCUUCUUGUGAGGAUAUUUUUAGGAUUGCCUUCUUCAAGCACCUGCCUUGGUCUGUAAAGUUCAACUAAGUCACUAUGCCAAGUGUUCGGGCCAAACCCUAUGAGAUAAGCCUCUAAAAUAAUCCAAGUCUUUCGUAUGCUGUUCACUUUGAGUUUGGGCUGUUUUUAUUAUCAGAGCAACUGACAUAUGUAGGUUGAUUGCCAUUCAUGGGUGUAUUGUGUGCGCUGUGGUUGCAGUCAGAUAUUUACAUGGAGGGAGAGAGCAUGAAUUUGCACAUCCCAUAUAAUGUGGUAAUGAGUCAAAAUCCACUUAGCCUAUUGUUUUCUGGCACAUUCAUUUAUUUUCUUUCGCGUGCAGGGUCCGACAUUAAAGAUGGUACACGGGGCGAGUAAAAACAUGUGUCGGGCCAGUGGAUCUCGUCUCUCACUGGCCCUUAACUUUUCAGCGCAUUUUUGCAUUCCAGUUCAACUUUUGCCUGCUCUGUCACAGUCUACCAUAGAGCUCCACAGUGAACGCAUCAUAAUACUCAAAACCUAGCGGUCAAACACAGAAAUGGUUCCAAUUGUUUUUUUCACCGUUCAUUUUUCACAUGGGGGAAUUUAGAACCACUUCAAACAAGUUCCUGGUUUCCAGUUUUUCCUGGUUUUGACCUUUCUGCCUGUCCUGAAUUUGAGCCUGCCUGCCAUUCUGUACCUUGCCACACCACACGGACUAUUGACCCCUGCCUGCUCUGAUCCUGAGACUGCCUACCGUUCUGGACCUUUUGCACCCUAUCUGGAUUACUGACUUCUGCCUGCCCUUGACCUGUCAUUUUGCCUGCCCCUGUACUAGUAAUAAACUUUUGUUACUUCGACACUGUCUGCAUCUAGGUCUUACCUGAAACGUGAUAGUUUCUACCGACAAUUAAGAUGUACAAACUAUGGCAUAAGGGGACGACGAGCGGUUAAGAGGAUAUCCGUAAUUUCAAUUAAGACAUUAUUGAGCGAACUCAGAUGGACGUGGUCAAUAUAGCUAUUUGUUCAGCACUUUUGUAAUGUACAGCGACAGAAUUCAGAACAUGGGCCAUUCUUUCAGUAUUCCUCCUGUACACCAAGUCAGAACCAUAGGAUAAAUAAAGGGGGCAUAUAAGCAGACAAUGAAAGCUCUUACAAUAUUCGAGGACUGUAUGUCUCUAAAACUGGCUAUAGGCCACAUGUGCACCACCAAGUCAGAACAGUAGACUAAAUUAUGAGGGGGAAAGGGACCAAAUUAUUAGGGUGAGGCACAUGGGCUACUAACAGCUUACUACACAACAUACACUCAGUAUUACUUUCUUAGUUUCAGUCAACAUAUCUAGUUUCCGACUUGGAAUUCCGUGUUGGAUGACCGUUCAAAAUGUAUUUUUCUAGUGGGAGCUCAUUUCUUUCCGGAGUUCCCAGUUGUCUUGAACUCACUGGCGUCUGAGAUUUCCCAGUUUCCAGUUUCCAGUUGUUUUGAAUGUGGCAGAAGUCAGGCUGGAUUGACAGAAUGGCCAAUGUUGAAUAUUUAUCCUUUCCAGUUUUGUAAAGAUACCCUUAAACCCAGACUUGGAUCACACAUCCACUCCACUGAAUACCAGGCUAGUUAUUUAUUUGCAAUGCUUGCAGCUAGCCACUGAUUCCUUCCAAACCACUCAUUGAUGAAUUUGUGAUUUCCAACUUGUUGGUGUAAUGUUUAUGUCCAAUGGCCGAUGAGCACCGAUACGUUUUAUUUAUAAUUUCUCUUAUUUUUUUAUCUUCAUAUGACAAGGAUUGAAAAAGAUUUGCCAGUAGAUUGUCGACUUGAUUCAUGAUGAUGACUGCUAGUUUGCUAGCUAAGAUUUUGAAAGUAUGAUGUUGACAUGAUCAGUCCAAUAAAAGCAACGGUAGAUAAAA
ensembl:lncRNA